UCUUGUUUGCACAACCAUCUUAUGCACAUUGAAGGUACAACCUUAAAAGUAUGAUCAUAUAAAAGUUGAUGCCAAAUUCAUAUAUUACAUUGUCCACAUCAUAAUUCCAAGAGUGCAUAAGUGAUUUUGGAGCAUAUGGUGGCACGGAGAAAUGAGGAAAAUGCUAGAUUAUCGUAUACCUUUUUAUUAGUCCACUAUGUCCGGCCCGUUAACACAGCAAGUGGCCGUCGGGUAUAACAUUGUUUGGUAAAAACUGUCCAACCCAAACAGCCAAUGUUAGGCACGUAUAGUAUGCAAAAUUGCAGUGUGCAGACCAAAAUAUUAAAUCCCUUCCCUUAUCCCCUUACCCUAAAUAGUGCUAGGAGAAGCAGAGAUGCAGAGAACUUAACCAAAAUACACCAAAUUGUGAGUGUUGAAGAAACCGAACGGAAGGGCACUCAUUUCUCUUAUGAUUUGAUUCAAAUGGGGUCAAGUUGAAUACGCAUAAAAACAAAACGCGUCAAAACGGCUAGUAGAAGGAACAAAAGGAAGAAAGUGAUGAGUAAUAAACAAAAGGAUUUAAAGAGAAAAAGACUGAGAUUGAGGACACACAUGAAAAUAAUUAAAAUGGUAUUUGUUGAGCAUACAAGCCAAAAUGAGUAGGAGGGACCUUUCAACUUUAGAUGGCAGUGCUUUUAGCGGUGAUUUUUUUUCACUUUAAACAUUGUCUUUAUUAUAUACUUGUUUACUUUUUUUUUUAAAUAUGCUGGCCUAAAUGUAACUUAUUUUACCCAUCAAUGUGGGCUGCCUACAUGUCCAAUAGCUCGUUUUAAAAUAGGUAAGACUUACACAUUUGUCCAUUAAGGGAAAACGGGUAUAUUCGUGCUCACUUAAAUUUUGUGAGCCUUUUGCAUGUGUGGGCAAACAAGCAGGACACCCAUUUUGUCAUCUUUACUUUUAAAUCAUCUUUCAAAAGAAGAUAAAACCAGUAAGAUAUGUCAUGGUUUUAAGUAAGGAUGGCAAAAAAACUCGUAUCUGUGGGGUACUUGUAGGUUUUAAAAACGGAUUUUUAAAAUACUCAUAGUGCAUACUAUUAAAUAACAUCAUUUAAAUUACUCUAAUAUUCAUGUGAACACAUACUGCUUUUAGUUGUUUUUAUUUGUCUGCAGAUUAUGCAUCAAACCAGAUGCAUCAGAAUUACUUGGGCCAGAUGCACUAGUCUUGCUUAGCCAGAUGCACCAGACUUGCCUGGCCAGAUGCAUCAGAAUUGUCUGGACAAGAUGCAUCAGACUUGGCCAGAUGCACCAGACUUGUCUGGACAGGAUGCACCAGACUUGCCCAGAUGCACCAGACUUGCCUGGACAGGAUGCACCAGAAUUCUUGGGCAGAUGCAUCAGAAUGUUUUGACUUGAUGCAGAAAACAGAGCAGCCUUGGUCUUGGAUUCAAAGCACAGUCUUGGACACCUUGGCUCGAUGGACCAGGCCACGAUGGACCAGGCCACGAUGGACCAGGCCUUGGGCUGAGUCAGUUUUUGCUGAGCACAUUUGCAAGAUCAUUUACAAUUCACUUAGGUCAUGAAUGAUGGAUGUAGUAGAGUUUCUUAAUACACAUUUAGCACAUGCCUAUUUGUUUAAAGCAUGUGUUUUCUGGUUUGUUAGGAGA
rnacentral:lncRNA from 1 species